rnacentral:rRNA from 1 species
GCCAUUUAAAGUGGUACGCGAGCUGGGUUUAGAACGUCGUGAGACAGUUCGGUCCCUAUCUGCCGUGGGCGCUGGAGAACUGAGGGGGGCUGCUCCUAGUACGAGAGGACCGGAGUGGACGCAUCACUGGUGUUCGGGUUGUCAUGCCAAUGGCACUGCCCGGUAGCUAAAUGCGGAAGAGAUAAGUGCUGAAAGCAUCUAAGCACGAAACUUGCCCCGAGAUGAGUUCUCCCUGACUCCUUGAGAGUCCUGAAGGAACGUUGAAGACGACGACGUUGAUAGGCCGGGUGUGUAAGCGCAGCGAUGCGUUGAGCUAACCGGUACUAAUGAACCGUGAGG